CAUAUAAAUAAGGUUUAGUGUCGUUUUACAACAACACAAACUAAAUGGGAAUUUGGUGAAAGUCCAAAACUGUACCCGCAACUGUAAACGUUUAUCAAAACGUAAGUCAGAUACCAGCCUUAUAUACCUUUACAGU
rnacentral:ncRNA from 2 species